ACACAAUCCAAGGGGUGCUGGCGCAAGCCGGCUGAGAUAAGACGUAUCGCCGUCUGAUCCCUCGAACCUGAUCCGGGUAAUGCCGGCGUAGGAAUGCGAACAUAUCGGCUU
rfam:Firmicutes bacterium CAG:176_63_11 Ley3_66761_scaffold_5089, whole genome shotgun sequence.